rnacentral:rRNA from 1 species
GAUGAACGCUGGCGGCGUGCCUAAUACAUGCAAGUCGAGCGAACAGACGAGGAGCUUGCUCCUCUGACGUUAGCGGCGGACGGGUGAGUAACACGUGGAUAACCUACCUAUAAGACUGGGAUAACUUCGGGAAACCGGAGCUAAUACCGGAUAAUAUAUUGAACCGCAUGGUUCAAUAGUGAAAGACGGUUUUGCUGUCACUUAUAGAUGGAUCCGCGCCGCAUUAGCUAGUUGGUAAGGUAACGGCUUACCAAGGCAACGAUGCGUAGCCGACCUGAGAGGGUGGUCGGGCACACCGGAACUGGGGCACGGUCCCGGCCCCUACGGGAGGCCGCAGUAGGGAAUUCUCCGGAAUGGGCGAAAGCCUGACGGAGCAACGCCGGGUGAGUGAUGAAGGUCUUCGGAUCGGAAAACUCUGGUAUUAGGGAAGAACAAAUGUGUAAGUAACUGUGCACGGCUUGACGGUACCUAAUCAGAAAGGCACGGCUAACUACGUG